UACGGGGGGGGCAAGCGUUGUUCGGAAUUACUGGGCGUAAAGGGUUUGUAGGUGGCCCGCUAAGUCACACGUGAAAUCCCUCAGCUUAACUGGGGAACUGCGUGUGAGACUGGCAGGCUCGAGGGCAGGAGAGGAACGCGGAAUUCCAGGUGUAGCGGUGGAAUGCGCAGAUAUCAGGAGGAACACCGAUUGCGAAGGCAGCUCGCUGGGACGUUACUGACGCUGAGACGCGAAAGCGUGGGGAGCAAACAGG
rnacentral:rRNA from 1 species